GCUGAAGCAUUUCACCCACAACUUUCAAUAUGUGUAAGUGAGAAUGCGUCGAUGUGUCCAGUAUGUCCCUGCUAAAUAUAAGGGUUCACUUCAGCAUCUGACAGCCGCCAAACUCUGACUCUUUGAGACACAUUUAUUCUACGGUCUCUGGCUGCCUCCUGCCCUGCGUGGCAAGGGAAUCAUGUCUCAAACGUCUGCCAAGUGCAAGUGAAAACAGCAAAGGGAGACUUGGCACUCAUAGGUGGUACAACAGAUGGGUGGGUGUCAAUGGCCAAAAACAGGAAGGAAAACAAGAAGAAAUAGACUGUCUGCAAAACCUGAAAACACCACGGGGGAGAAAAUCAAACAAAAGGGCGACAGUUUACUUAGGAAGCUGCCCACUGUGUACAUAAGUUAAUGCCAGGUGAGGUGUGGGAGGCUAUUAUGAUACAAAAGAAGUAAGUACAUGUGACUGAGUGAUGGUCCACUGAAUCAAGGUGGCCUUAUUGUCAACCUAAUGGCAUCUCUUUAGACUACGGGAGAACAGUGGGGACCCCAAGGGAAAGCUAACUGAAUACGGGACAUGGUGAACAUGCACACUCCCCACAGACAGAUGAGGUGACAAUGCUGCAUCACGUUUAGAUUUUCUUAGUCCUGCCUGAGACAUCGCUGGUGUACAGUUUGCUGAGGAGCACAUCCAAUUGAUGUGUUUAUGAACAAUGAGUCAACGACCAACAAAGAAAUAAAAUGCAAGUGAAGCCCUGGCUGAAAUAAUGAAGGAGUUGUUGGAUUUUGAUACAUCAGACAACUCAAAUGAAGAGGACAAUGAUGAUGGAAGUGACACUGUGUCAAGUAUGAGGAAACAAAAAUUGAUGAUGAAACAGCCCCGUAGAGAUGCAGCAAAUGUAGCUAAGACGCAACGCUGUCACAUGUGCCCAAAGGCAAAAAAGAGAAAGAUAAAGUCCGCUUGCUCCCAGUGCAAACUUCCGGUUUGCCAAGAACAUUCAGUUGAGGCAGAUUCUGAGUAACUGUUCUGUAUGCGAAUCAGAUGUGUAACUGACAUCUUGUUUUAGUGCUACUAUGACUAUUUUGUAUGAUUUGGUGAACACUAAACAUGCAUUACU